ACGGGAUGGAUCAUAGGAUUCUGAUUUUAUGUGAAAUUUUGUCUAAUUCAUUAAAGCAGUCGCUUUUCCAAAAAAAAAAAAAAAAAAAAGAAAAAGAAAAGAAAAGAAAAGAAAUGUGGUGCAAACUCACUUAUGCUCACUUAUGAUACAAUAUAAAAAUUGUAUAUAUAUACAAUGUAUAAUAUACAAAUUGCUUGAAGUAUGUAAGUUGGCUCACUUAGCUCCUUAUUGCUUUUUUUGCAGGUUUUUAGUAACAAAAUAACUGAUGCAUUUUGUUUUCUUAGUUCAUAAACAGUAUUUUAAUAUUGUUUUGAAAGAUUAUAAAUUAGAAUCUGUCCUCUAGAGAUGAAUAUUUGCAUUGAUGUCGUAAAAAUAUUUAUAGAUUUGUUUCUAUGCUUUUAGGGGGUACCCAAUAACAUUUUAACAUACAGACUGAUAAUUAAAUAUUUUUAACACAAUUUGAACUUAGUGCAGUUUAAAAUGAGCAUAAUAUUUUUAAGUCAUAAAGAGAUAAAUAGCCUCACCCAUAUUUAUAUAUUUAUAAACAAUAAAAAUUAUAUUAUUACUG
rnacentral:lncRNA from 1 species